GGAAUGUUCUCAGGAAGAUGUUAUAACCAUUCAGUUGUGUAUCUUUAAUUGAUGUUCCUAGAGUAAUUUUACGGAGUUUAUUUAUUUCGCAAAUGAACAUUGGCUUCAUUUGGGUGCCGAUUUAAUUUCGUACA
rnacentral:snoRNA from 1 species